UGCUCAUAUUUGGUGCUAAUUAUUGGGAAUUUUUGGAGCUUUGCAGUGGGAUCAUUUGGCUCGUGUUGAAGGCUCGUUUUUAAGGGGUUUAGGAUCACACUCCUAUCACACGUGGCUAGUAGGGUUCCCUAUCGGCAAAGUUUUGGAUCUGGCGAUUAUGCUCAUCCUGCCAUUCGUGACUAGAAUUAUUAUUGUUGUACCAUUGGUGAGUCCUCAUAGUUUGAGGAUAUGACACUUACUUCAUUUUGUCAAUUGAUUACUUCAUUACUCUUAUGUUUUCAUGGGUGAACUAGAAGCUUGUCUUAUGCUCCCAUCGAGUUAGUAUAGGCAUGUUAAAUAUUCAUGGCGUCUAUAUUGUCGAUUUUGCUCAU